rnacentral:rRNA from 1 species
GACGAACGCUGGCGGCGUGCCUAACACAUGCAAGUCGAGCGGGGAUUUAAGUGGAAGUUCUUCGGAAUGGAGAUUUAAAUUCUAGCGGCGGACGGGUGAGUAACGCGUGAACAAUCUGUCCCGGACAGGGGGAUAACACUUGGAAACAGGUGCUAAUACCGCAUAAGACCACGGCCUCGCAUGGGGCUGAGGUAAAAGGAGCAAUCCGGUUCGGGGUGAGUUCGCGUCCGAUUAGCUAGUUGGUGAGGUAACGGCCCACCAAGGCGACGAUCGGUAGCCGGCCUGAGAGGGGGAACGGCCACAUUGGAACUGAGAGACGGUCCAAACUCCUACGGGAGGCAGCAGUGAGGAAUAUUGGGCAAUGGGCGAAAGCCUGACCCAGCAACGCCGCGUGAGGGAAGAAGGUUUUCGGAUUGUAAACCUCUGUCCUAUGGGACGAAGGAAGUGACGGUACCAUAGGAGGAAGCCCCGGCUAACUACGUG